rnacentral:rRNA from 1 species
UACGUAGGGGGCAAGCGUUGUCCGGAAUUAUUGGGCGUAAAGCGCGCGCAGGCGGUCAAUUAAGUCUGGUGUUUAAUCCUGGGGCUCAACUCCGGGUCGCACUGGAAACUGGUUGACUUGAGUACAGAAGAGGAAAGUGGAAUUCCACGUGUAGCGGUGAAAUGCGUAGAGAUGUGGAGGAACACCAGUGGCGAAGGCGACUUUCUGGGCUGACACUGACGCUGAGGUGCGAAAGCGUGGGGAGCAAACAGG